GCUACAGGAUAUAAUGCCCAUCCAAGCAUUAACUGAGGGACAGCUACGCUGAUAUAUGCGUAUCCCCAUGGACUAUAUUAAUUUAUCAUCCUUAAAGCAGACAGCUGGGCCUCAUCUCAUGUCUAAUAAAUAAGCCUGGCAACAUUAAAAUGUUCCUUUUCCCGCUGAGAUAAGACUUUUUCUCUUUUGCUUGUAAUUUACCAUUGGGAUUUUUUAUUUUGUCUCUGAAUACUAACGUUGUAUGGGAUAACUGCCCAGUGAUCACGAGAUCAGUGGUAGCUUCAGGAAGCCUCGACAAGGUUCUACCAAGCUGCAUUUUACUGCACGAAACAAAAUCCAUGCAGAUGUGCAUUUUGUACAACAGCUAUGGGCCACAGCAACACAUCUGGAAACAACAAUAAUGGAUGGGAUGUCAAAUGCAUUGGGUAUGAGGCACGUAAUAACCACAAAAACUG